UACGUACUCCCUCCGUUCGGAAUUACUUGUCUCGGAAAUGGAUGUAUCUAGACGUAUUUUAGUUCUAGAUACAUCCAUUUCUGCGACAAGUAAUUUCGAACGGAGGGAGUAGCUU
rnacentral:pre_miRNA from 1 species